rnacentral:rRNA from 1 species
UACAGAGGGUGCGAGCGUUGUCCGGAAUUAUUGGGCGUAAAGAGCUCGUAGGCGGUCCGUCACGUCCGCUGUGAAAACCCAGGGCUCAACCCUGGGCUUGCAGUGGAUACGGGCAGACUAGAGGUAGGUAGGGGAGAAUGGAAUUCCUGGUGUAGCGGUGAAAUGCGCAGAUAUCAGGAGGAACACCGGUGGCGAAGGCGGGUCUCUGGGCAACUACUGACGCUGAGGAGCGAAAGCGUGGGGAGCGAACAGG